rnacentral:rRNA from 1 species
AACUCGGCCAUUUAGAGGAAGUACAAGUCGUAACAAGGUUUCCGUAGGUGAACCUGCGGAAGGAUCAUAGUAAUCGUCUUUGACGUUCUAUUUCCAUCGUCCUCGGGACGUUAAGGUGCUCUGGUCGAGGAUAAACGACCCCUCUGACCGAGGUUAAACGGUCGCUUGCCUGUGUUACCUCUUUUCGAGGCACACGUUAAAGAUCGUUCCGCGUUGUGAGUCUAACACCAGUUGUAAACUUUCUACAACCGGCAGCGCUGGACCCCUUGGCACGUCAUUCGAUGAAGACCGUUGCAAAUUGCGAUAAAGUGAUGUGAUGCGCAAGUCCACCACUUAUACGUGAAUCAUCGAGUUGUUGAACGCAUUGCACCGCGCCCUAAUCCGGCUGCGGUAUGCCCCUUUGAGCGUCAUUGUAUUCCUUCGGGAGUCUUUCCUUGCUGAAAGACCCGAGCUCGGAGUCCUCGGUCCUUUGGAUCGUGUUCUCUCAGAUGCGUCGCGCCGAUCGCCUGAUGGGUACUCUAAUGCCUGAGCGUGGAGUCCCUUUGAGCUUGAGACGCGCUUGACCGGUCGUUGGGCUCGCGUCACCAAGUCCGCGUCCUUCUGGACGUCGGUACUACAACGCAUGACCUCAUUGGGGUAGGACAACCCGCUAGACUUAAGCAUAUUAAUCAGCGGAGGAAAAGAAACUAACAAGGAUUCCCCUAGUAAC